rnacentral:rRNA from 1 species
CUACGGGGGGCUCCAGUCGAGAAUCAUCCGCAAUGGGCGAAAGCCUGACGGUGCAAUGCCGCGUGGGGGAUGAAGGCCCUCGGGUCGUAAACCCCUGUCAGGAGGGACGAAGAAGUGACGGUACCUCCAGAGGAAGCCACGGCUAACUACGUGCCAGCAGCCGCGGUAAUACGUAGGUGGCGAGCGUUAUUCGGAUUUACUGGGCGUAAAGGGUCCGCAGGGGGUUUGCCAAGUCUGGUGUGAAAUCUCACAGCUCAACUGGUAAACUGCGCUGGAUACUGGUGAACUAGAGUGCGCGAGGGGUGAGUGGAAUUCCUGGUGUAGCGGUGGAAUGCGUAGAUAUCAGGAAGAACACCAACGGCGAAGGCAGCUCACUGGCGCGCAACUGACCCUCAUGGACGAAAGCGUGGGUAGCAAACAGGAUUAGAUACCCCAGUAGUC